UCUUUAACAGGUUACGGAUGUAGCUGUGCUUUGGAGUGAUUGAUAAUACAUACCGUAUUAUCAAUCACGCCAAAGCACAGCAACACCCGUAACCU